rnacentral:lncRNA from 1 species
CAAAGGUUCCCUGAGUCCUUCUGUUGUGUAGUGAGUUCAGAGGCUACGAACACCCAAGCAAGACACACAGAUGAUUGAAGGCAGUCAGAGAUAGGGUCUCACUAUGUUGCCCAGAUGGGUGUUGAACUCCUAGACUCAAGCGAUCCUCCCGCCUCAUCCACCCAAAGUGCUGGGAUUACAGGUGUGAGCCACCUUGCCCAGUGUGCAAAGUACAUUUUUUAAAAAUAAGAAAACACCUUCCGUUGGUCCAGGAAUAUGUAUUGAGAUCCACUAGUGCCAGGCACUGGGCAAGGCUCUGGGGACGGGGUGAAGUUCCUGCUUUCCUGGGUCUGAAGCUCUAGCGGGGAACACAGGCGAUAAGCCCAGAAACAGAUGAAAAAAUACGGCGCAUUCCAGCGACGGUCAGGGCAGAAAGAGAUAAGAACUAAGAACGUCAAUGUUUGUUCUCGGGUUCAAAGAAGUCAGCGUCUUUGGCGGGAGCUGGGCCACCAUCGCCCGGACCACGCUGGGGUGCUAAGUGCUCACAUCCUCCCCAGCACUGUCCUCAACAGCCAAGAGGCAGGCACAGGGGAAAACCCACCAGCAACACCAGCACCACAGCGUCCACACCCGCCGAGGAUGCUGCACAAAAGGCCCAUGGACCAGGGUGCCUGGGGGCAGGGCAUGCUGGGCACCGUCCAUCUUCUGGCAGCUUCUGGUUAACCCGAAAAUCCUGUUUGGUUUUCCUGUGUCUUUUGAGAAUGUCACUCAAACCCCUGAAUCCUCUCUGUGAUCUAAGUGUCAUGAGGCCUGCAAAACCUCGCUUCCUGCAGCAGACUUCUCCGCUUCCUGGCCCCCAUGAAGACUGUUAUCCACAAGUAGCCAGAGGGAUUCUGUAAAAAUCAAAGUCAGGGCAGGGCCCUCCUCUGCUCAAAACCCUCCCAUGGCUCCCUACUUCACUCAGGGAGGAAGCCACGCCCAUAUUGUAGCCUCUUCCACCUCUCACACUCAUUGCACAGGCGGCCACCAAGCCCCUUUCUACCCCAGUGCCUUUGCACUUGCCACCCCCUUACUUCAUUGCAAUCCCUUCUUAGCAGAGAGGCUGACCCUGAAUUCCCUCCUGAAAUAGUGACCCUUCUCAAAUAAGUCUCCCCUCGCCUUGCCUUAUUUGUCUUCAUAUCUGUUCGUCACUACCUGACAUGUUAGAUAUUUAUUAUUUUCUCUCUUGCCGUUGGGCCUAAGUUCCCAGGGCCUCUCAUGUUUCUCCAGCGCCCAGAGGCUGACUGGCUUAUGGAGUGAGCGCAAUCAUUUCCUUUUGUGUGUGAAUAAAUGAAAGAAUCUUGGACCUGACCGCUUCAGACCAAGGGGUUUAGCCCAGGUCUCUGGGACAAUGAGGAUUCUUAAGGAUUUUUCACUGGGGAUUGACAGAACCAAUUGGUUUGGGAGAGAUCACUGCAGCUUCUGAAAGAAGCCACCUGUCCCAUGAGGGCAUGUGCCAUAUGGAAUACAGACAACUUGAUAUCAGUGCCCCCCUCCUCGGAGGGUGGGGGGAGGGGGGCGGGUGUUUCAGGAAUUAAAUCAGAAAAUAUUGGGAUGAGGCUUAGCCCUGUCCUUGGCGCACAGGAAGUACUCAGCCAGUGGUCAUGAUCAGCAUCAGCUGUAGCAUGAACGGACCAUGGAGACAGGUGGGCUUGC